CUCUCUCUCUCUCUCUCUCUCUCUCAACAACUUGGGAAGGGGAGAAGGUGGAGCUCGUCAAGAGAUGGGGUGGCGUUGGGGAUUCCUCAUCUCCAUGUCGUUGGUGACAAAAAACUCGAAACCCUAGAUUACUAUGUGUGCUAUUUAAGGAGAAGAGAGUGGAGUAGGCAGAGAUGUGAAGGAGCCGGAAGUGAUUGUUGCUAGCUUCUUUGCGGAAGAUAGGUGGCUGUCACAAGAGAAGAAAUACUUAAUUACAACAUGUGAUUGGUGCUGCACUACGUGCCCUGUGACACCCCACAUCUCAUCUUAAGCUGAAUUCGGAUCUGGGUUACGGAGAAGGAGAGAAAUCCACCAUAUGUGUAUCCAGUGUCCACUGUCCACAUGUAGUUUAGUGUAAGCAUGAUUUCAAAGCAUACAUUUAUCUAUCUCCAGCUGUGACUCAAAAUAAGCUGCAAGCCAGCAAGUAUGUGCUUUAUUGUAUCUCCCUUCCUUGAUUUUUUUCUUCUUUACCUAUGAUAUUUCUUUCGCAGUACCUGCUUUUGUCCCCGUGAAAUGAUUUCUCUGGGUGUGGUUGGGGUCAUUCUCUAGCCCCUCAUGUUUCUAAUUCAUGUUACAUUUCAGCUCCUCUAGGAUUAUAGCCAGCAAUGUACAGAGUAGAUGAAGAUAAAAAAUUGUUUAUGAUGCAAAGGUUUUAGUGGACAUAUAAUUAGAUAUUUUAUUCCUUGGAAUUUUAGCUAAUUAGUUAUAUACUUCCUAUUCUGUACCUAGAUUGCACAUAUAAUUGAUCUGCUGGUUGCCUCUUUUGUUUAUUACCUAAAUAUAGCAUCGAAAAUGCGUCCAAUAACUAUAGCAAGCGCCCUUUCUGUUUAUUUUGCUUUGUUUUAGAGUAUGAAAUUAAGAGAGGAACCAGUAUGUUGUGAGAUCUUCAGCAUAAUUCUACACAUCGGACAUUUGAUCAAAGACCAAUUACUUGACUUGAGACAUAUAUGCUUGACAAUACUUUUCAGUAUCAGAAAGUAGCCAGUGCAUAAACGAACAAGUUUUGUGCUUCAUAAGGAUUCCAAUUCCCUUGUAUAAUUAGCAACUGAGUCUGAUUAAUUCCAAUUUGGCAAUAAAGAAAGUCACUGGUGAGCCUAGAAUUUGAACAACAGGAUUUCAAUAAAAAAAUAAGGAAUUUUUUUGAUAGCUCAAAUCCUAAUUUUAGCUGGCUAUGGCCUUUUUUGACAUAAUGAGCCGGGAGAACAAAGAAGGGAUGGAUGCUCCCUUGAUUCCAAUGUUAUGUUGUGUUAUUUUCAUAUUUUUCAUACAUGUACAUUGGUCGUAUUAUUUUUCAUAUUCCAAUGGAAAUUCCUAUUUUUUGUAAGCACGGGCCCAGUGAUUUAUCUUGAAGCAUUGGUCGUAUUAUUUUUAUUUGUCCUGUUCCUAAAUUAUACAGUUAAUCAGAUCACAUGGAUGCGCAAAGCCAAGUUAUAUGAGCUAAAGUUGUUGUAUAGAUGUUUUUCUAAUCACCAGAUCCAACCUUGGAAUUUGCUUUGGCCAUCAUGUCUUAUUGAGUUAUUAAGUUAUACGAACUAAACAAUUCUGAAGGUGUGGAUUUAUCUGAUCUUGUGGUUCUUCCAGGUUUGAGCAUACAACUGAACCUAAAGAUUACUUGUGGAUAGAUAUACCUCAGUGCCUGAAACUUAGUCCAUGCCCAUAUCUUCUCCCUCUACAAAAAAAUGUACAUUGAUUUCAUUUGCCAUGAGGGUCAAUUCCUUCUUUUGCACCUCUGCAUGCACACCACUUUGCUGAUAUCAUCUGAAGGCAUCUGAAACAAGGUCUUUUCAGACAUAGUUUUCAACACAUUUUAGAUAGUUAAUUGCUUCUAUAUACUCCCUGUUGCGCACUUCAUUGUUUAAUUUAGCAUGGAAAUUUAUACAAUUUUUGUUUGUCAUGACAAAAGGUUGCUUCACACUACCUUAUUGUUUCUCAUUGCUUAAUAUGACAAUUUUUGUUUCUCAUUUCUUAAUUACAUGGUUAAUAUGAUUUGCUUCUAUGCACCUCCCUAUUCCGUUAGCUCAUUUAUCUUAUAUAAGUUUUCUUUUAGAAUCCUACGUUUUCUUGGAGCUGCUCUUUUGCAAUGCUAUUUGUGCAUAUAUCAUCGUUGAAAUCAGCAAUCUGCAUGUACUCAGUACUUCCAUCAGUUGUUUCACUAUUGAAAAUCCCCCCUAUAACCAUGCAAUGCAUCUGGUUCUUGAAUAUUCAGGGCAUAUCCACAAUAUGUGCUCUAUUUCCUUUCCAUGUUUCUAUUCCCAAUAUAUCUCCUUCAAACUCUGUUGCAAAAUCUUUACACUUUCCUGGUUGCCUAAUUGUAGUAGUUGCAUUCUGUAACACAUUAAUUAUAGUUUUGUACUAUCACAAUCUUAGAUUACUUGUGCUGGCAAAUUUUGUUUAUUACAGUUACCACGAACCAUAAGAAGCUGGAGCUUACUGAUAUUGGACUUGCAGGAAAGGAAACACUGAUAUGAUUGAUGACCAGAGUGGGAUAUCAUGAUGGAUUCACUCUUUUCUGGAAUGGCUACAACAUUACAAAAAUUAUGAACUGAAUUGAGAAAAAGGGUAUACAAGUAACAUGUUGGCUAUCAUAAUACAUGUUGUUUUCUAUAUCCUGCAGCUUCCUUUUGGUUUAAAGUGCACAUUCUCAAAUUUAUAUUCAUUUUCAGCGAACCCUCCAUGGAAAGAUAUUUAUUGUGGCUCGUUCAGAUAUGUAGAUAACAUUAGCUAAUUGCAUGCUUACAUCAGCAUGCUUAUGGACAGCUUGCUUUUUUUUUAGUGAAAGAGCGCUUACAAUAGCUGGGGAAACCCGAGAAAUUAUGUUCAGUUACAAGCUCCCUUUUGACUAGGAAAGAGACACCAGAAGACCUGGCAUGCUUUGCAAGAGCAUCAUCACAUCUAUUAGAAUCUCUUUUGACUAGGAAAAUCGUAUGAUCCUGGAAGGCCUUCAGGGUCUUCUUGGCUUCCUCAUACAUGUUCCAGUGUUUUGAUCUAUCAGGUUCUUGCUAGCGAAGAUUCUUUGCCGCAGCCGAGCAGUCAAGCUCCAAGACAAUUUUUGUGUGCCCUAGGGGAUUCCAGAGCAAGCAGAGCCCCUUUUGCAUCCCAUGAACCUUCUGCAAGUGGCCAAUAAACUGACCCAGUUCAGGCUCCACAGUAAGCUGUAGUUCCCUCCAUCAGGACCCGGUGCUAAUCCC